rnacentral:rRNA from 1 species
CGUCCUAUCAGCUUGUUGGUGAGGUAACGGCUCACCAAGGCUUACGGGUAGCUGGUCUGAAAGGAUGGUCAGCCACACUGGGACUGAAAUACUGCCCAGACUCCUACGGGAGGCUGCAGUCCAAAAUCUUUCCCAAUGGGCGCAAGCCUGACCAAACGACCCCCCGUGCAAGAUGAAAGUCUUCCGAAUGUAAACUGCUGUCUUCCGGGAUCAAGGAACCCCCAUUAACACCGGUGGAACCGGAUAGUACCGGAAGAGGAAGCCACGGCUAACUCUGUGCCAGCAGCCGCGGUAAUACAGAAGUGGCAAGCGUUGUUCGGAUUUACUGGGCGUAAAGGGUGCGUAAGCGGUCUUGUGUGUCGGGUGUGAAAUCCCACGGAUUAUCUGUGGAACGGCAUUCUAAACUGCAAGGCUUGAGUGUAAGAGAGGAGAGCGGAAUUCUUGGUGUAACGGUGAAAUGCGUUGAUAUCAAAAAGAAAGCCGGUGACAAAAGUGGCUCUCCUGGACUACUACUGACGCUGAAGCACGAAAGCUAUGGGAGCAAACAGGAUUAGAUACCCUGGUAGUCCUAACGUAAACGGUGUGCACUUGCUGUGGGUGGAUUUAUCCCCUCCCCGCGGCGAAACUAACACGAUAAAUGCACCGCCUGGGGGAGAACAGUCGCAGACUAAAACUCAAAGAAUGUCGGGGGGCCCCACAAGCGUGGAGAAUGUGGCUUAAUUCUAUGCAACGCGAGAAACCUACCUGGGUUGACAUGUGACUGCAGGCUUGCCGCAAAAGUGAACGCCUCCAGGUGUCACACAGUGCUG